AUUGAACGCUGGCGGCAGGCCUAACACAUGCAAGUCGAGCGGAUGAAGGGAGCUUGCUCCUGGAUUCAGCGGCGGACGGGCGAGUAAUUCCUAGGAAUCUGCCUGGUAGUGGGGGAUAACGUCCGGAAACGGGCGCUAAUACCGCAUACGUCCUGAGGGAGAAAGUGGAGGAUCUUCUGACCUCACGCUAUCAGAUGAGCCUAGGUCGGAUUAGCUAGUUGGUGGGGUAAAGGCCUACCAAGGCGACGAUCCGUAACUGGUCUGAAAGGAUGAUCAGUCACACUGGAACUGAAAAACGGUCAAGACUCCUACGGGAGGAAGCAGUGGGGAAUAUUGGACAAUGGGCGAAAGCCUGAUCCAGCAAUGCCGCGUGUGUGAAGAAGGUCUUCGGAUUUUAAAGCACUUUAAGUUGGGAGGAAGGGCAGUAAGUUAAUAACUUGCUGUUUUGACGUUACCAACAGAAUAAGCAACGGCUAACUUCGUG
rnacentral:rRNA from 1 species